rnacentral:rRNA from 1 species
GAUGAACGCUAGCGGGAGGCUUAACACAUGCAAGUCGAGCGGGAUAAGUAGCAAUACUUUGAGAGCGGCGCACGGGUGCGUAACGCGUAUGCAACCUGCCUUAUACAGGGGGAUAGCCCAUGGAAACGUGGAUUAAUAUCCCAUAGGACUUAUGAAUAGCAUGGUUAAUAAGUUAAAACUACGGUGGUAUAAGAUGGGCAUGCGUCUGAUUAGGUAGUUGGUAGGGUAACGGCCUACCAAGCCGACGAUCAGUAGGGGUUCUGAGAGGAUUACCCCCCAAACUGGUACUGAGACACGGACCAGACUCCUACGGGAGGCAGCAGUGAGGAAUAUUGGUCAAUGGGCGAUAGCCUGAACCAGCCAUCCCGCGUGCAGGAUGACGGCCCUAUGGGUUGUAAACUGCUUUUCUGCUCCAAGAAACCUGAUUACGAGUAAUCAGUUGACGGUAGAGCAGGAAUAAGCAUCGGCUAACUCCGUGCCAGCAGCCGCAGUAACAC